rfam:Echinostoma caproni strain Egypt genome assembly, scaffold: ECPE_scaffold0003817
UCACUGCUAACGAGUCCGAAACAGGGCGAAACAGCUGUCCAGUAC